rnacentral:rRNA from 1 species
AGGGUGCAGGGCGGAUGCCUUGGCACUAGGAGCCGAUGAAGGACGUGAUAAGCUGCGAUAAGCUUCGGGGAGUUGCACGUAAACUUUGAUCCGAAGAUUUCCGAAUGAGGAAACUCACUUAGAGUAAUGUCUAAGUAUCAUUAAGUGAAUACAUAGCUUAAUGAGGGGAACUCAGGGAACUGAAACAUCUAAGUACCUGAAGGAAGAGAAAGAAAUUCGAUUCCGUAAGUAGCGGCGAGCGAACGCGGAUUAGCCCAAACCAAUAAAGUUUUCUUUAUUGGGGUUGCGGACAUAUCAUAACGAAGAGGUAUCGUAAUUGAAGAGGUUUGGAAAGACCCACCACAGAAGGUAAUAGUCCUGUAUGUUAAACGAGAAGACUUCAGAUAUGAUCCAGAGUACCACGGGACACGUGAAACCCUGUGGGAAGCAGGAGGGACCACCCUCCAAGGCUAAAUACUACCUAGUGACCGAUAGCGUAUAGUACCGUGAGGGAAAGGUGAAAAGAACCCCGGGAGGGGAGUGAAAUAGAACCUGAAACCCUGCACUUACAAGCUGUGGAAGCACAUUUCUUGUGUGACCGCGUACUUUUUGUAGAACGGGCCAACGAGUUACGUUAAGUAGCAAGGUUAAGCACUUAAGGUGCGGAGCCGUAGCGAAAGCGAGUUUUAACUGAGCGUUCAGUUACUUGACGUAGACCCGAAACCGGGCGACCUACCCAUGAGCAGGAUGAAGCGAAAGUAAAAUUUCGUGGAGGUCCGAACCCACGAGCGUUGAAAAGCUCGGGGAUGACUUGUGGGUAGCGGUGAAAUUCCAAUCGAGCCCGGAGAUAGCUGGUUCUCCCCGAAAUAGCUUUAGGGCUAGCCUCAAGGUGAGAGAUACGGAGGUAGAGCACUGAAUGUCCUAGGGGGUAUUGCACCUACCGAAGACUAUCAAACUCCGAAUGCCGUCAUCUUAUACUUGGGAGUCAGACUGUGGGUGAUAAGAUUCAUAGUCGAAAGGGCAACAGCCCAGAUCGUCAGCUAAGGUCCCUAAAUGUAAGUUAAGUGGUAAAGGAUGUGGGAUUGCACAGACAACCAGGAUGUUGGCUUAGAAGCAGCCACUCAUUCAAAGAGUGCGUAAUAGCUCACUGGUCGAGUGAUCCUGCGCCGAAGAUUUCCGGGGCUAAAACUUACUACCGAAGCUACGGCAUCAGUAAUGAUGGGUAGGGGAGCUUCCCAUACGGGUUGAAGCAUGACCGUAAGGACAUGUGGACAGUAUGGGAGUGAGAAUGUUGGCAUGAGUAGCGAGAUGUGGGUGAGAAUCCCACAGGCCGUAAACCCAAGGUUUCCAGGGGAAGGUUCGUCCGCCCUGGGUUAGUCGGGACCUAAGCUGAGGCCGAAAGGCGUAGGUGAUGGACAACAGGUUGAUAUUCCUGUACUACCGAUAACCGUUUGAGAGAAGGGAUGACACAGUAGGAUAAGCUAAGCACACUGUUGGUUAUGUGUGCCCAAGCAUUGAGGCAGUCAAAGUAGGCAAAUCCGCUUUGAUAAUGCUGGGAUGUGAUGGGGAGCGAAAUUUAGUAGCGAAGUAGCUGAUUUCACACUGUCAAGAAAAGUCUCUAUCGAGGUUAAAGGUACCCGUACCGCAAACCGACACAGGUGGGUGAGGAGAGUAUCCUAAGGCCAGCGAGAGAACUGUUGUUAAGGAACUCGGCAAAAUGACCCCGUAACUUAGGGAUAAGGGGUGCCACCAUCAGGUGGCCGCAGAGAAUAGGCCCAAGCGACUGUUUACCAAAAACAUAGGUUUCUGCUAAGUCGCAAGACGAUGUAUAGGAGCUGACGCCUGCCCGGUGCUGGAAGGUUAAGGGGAUCUGUUAGAGCAAUCGAAGCAGUGAACUUAAGCCCCAGUAAACGGCGGCCGUAACUAUAACGGUCCUAAGGUAGCGAAAUUCCUUGUCGGGUAAGUUCCGACCCGCACGAAAGGCGUAACGAUUUGGGCACUGUCUCAACAACAGACUCGGUGAAAUUGUAAUUCCGGUGAAGAUGCCGGAUACCUGCGACAGGACGGAAAGACCCCAUGGAGCUUUACUGUAGCUUGACAUUGGGUCUUGGUACUACAUGUACAGGAUAGGUGGGAGGCUUUGAAACCAGGACGCCAGUUUUGGCGGAGCCAUCCUUGGGAUACCACCCUUGUAGUACUGGGACUCUAACCAUAGGCCAUGAAUCUGGUCUUGGGACACUGUCAGGCGGGCAGUUUGACUGGGGCGGUCGCCUCCCAAAAGGUAACGGAGGCGCUCAAAGGUUCUCUCAGUACGGUCGGAAAUCGUACGUAGAGUGUAAAGGCAAAAGAGAGCUUGAUUGCAAGACAUACAGGUCGAGCAAGGAUGAAAAUCGGACUUAGUGAUCCGGUGGUUCUGCGUGGAAGGGCCAUCGCUCAACGGAUAAAAGCUACCCUGGGGAUAACAGGCUUAUCUCCCCCAAGAGUCCACAUCGACGGGGAGGUUUGGCACCUCGAUGUCGGCUCAUCACAUCCUGGGGCUGUAGUAGGUCCCAAGGGUUGGGCUGUUCGCCCAUUAAAGUGGUACGCGAGCUGGGUUCAGAACGUCGUGAGACAGUUCGGUCCCUAUCCGUCGCAGGCGUAGGAAAUUUGAGAAGACCUGUCCUUAGUACGAGAGGACCGGGAUGGACGUACCUCUGGUGUACCAGUUGUCCUGCCAAGGGCAUGGCUGGGUAGCUAUGUACGGAAUGGAUAAGCGCUGAAAGCAUCUAAGCGCGAAGCCAACUUCAAGAUAAGAUUUCCCACCGCAAGGGUAAGACCCCAGAAAGACUAUCUGGUUGAUAGGUCGAAGGUGUAAGUGCAGCAAUGUAUUUAGCUUAUCGAUACUAAUAGGUCGAGGACUUGACC